CUCCGGGCCUGAAGAGGUUGAC
rnacentral:miRNA from 1 species